GGUUAAGUACGGUCGCGGGGACGGGGGGAUACGUAGGUAGCCAGCGUUGUCGGGAAUCAUGGGGCGUAAAGAGCGCGUAGGCGGCCCUGUAAGUCCGCUCUGAAAGUCAAAGGCGCAACCUUUGAAAGCGGGGUGAUACUGCAGGGCUAGAGUCCGGAAGAGGCGAGUGGAAUUCCUGGUGUAGCGGUGGAAUGCGCAGAUAUCAGGAGGAACACCAACGGCGAAGGCAGCUCGCUGGGACGGUACUGACGCUGAGGCGCGAAAGCGUGGGGAGCGAACAGGAUUAGAUACCCGGUAGUC
rnacentral:rRNA from 1 species